rnacentral:rRNA from 1 species
UAUCUCUGUAGAGUCUGCAUAUCAAUAAGCGGAGGAAAAGAAACUAACAAGGAUUCCCCUAGUAACGGCGAGUGAAGCGGGAAGAGCUCAAAUUUGAAAUCUUAAAGGGUUUCCCUUUACGAAUUGUAGUUUAAAGAAGUGUUUUCUGUUGAGGUUUUGGUAAAAGUUCUUUGGAAUAGGACAUCAUAGAGGGUGAGAAUCCCGUAUUUGACCUUUACUUUCAACUUUGUGAUACACUUUCAAAGAGUCGAAUUGUUUGGGAAUGCAGUCCAAAAUGGGUGGUAAAUUUCAUCUAAAGCUAAAUAUUGGCGAGAGACCGAUAGCGAACAAGUACCGUGAGGGAAAGAUGAAAAGAACUUUGAAAAGAGAGUUAAACAGUACGUGAAAUUGUCAAAAGGGAAGCGUUUGACACCAGUGUUGUUUUUCUGAAAAUCAAUUAAGGAACUGUUUAUGCUAAGCUGUUUAGACUUUAUCAGCUAUCUGUUUAGUUUUGAGCUUUUCUUUAAUGCACUUUUCAGUUAACAAGUCAACAUCAAUUUCUUUUGCUGUAAAAAAGCUUAAGGAAGGUGGCUUGAGAUUCGUCUUAAGUGUUUAUAGCCUCUUGCCUAUGCAGUCGGAGAGAUUGAGGUCUGCAGCGUAGAUCCUUCGGGGCUAAAUGCAUUUGUGCUAAGUUAUAGCAUUUUAUAGACAACUUGUUGACUAUGAUUUGUCUUGUAGCUUACUCGCUUAUGUUAUUUUACCUACGCUUAGGAUGUUGACGAUCAGCUGAGCGCG